AUUGAACGCUGGCGGCAGGCCUAACACAUGCAAGUCGAACGGUAGCACAGAGAGCUUGCUCUCGGGUGACGAGUGGCGGACGGGUGAGUAAUGUCUGGGAAACUGCCUGAUGGAGGGGGAUAACUACUGGAAACGGUAGCUAAUACCGCAUAACGUCGCAAGACCAAAGAGGGGGACCUUCGGGCCUCUUGCCAUCAGAUGUGCCCAGAUGGGAUUAGCUAGUAGGUGGGGUAACGGCUCACCUAGGCGACGAUCCCUAGCUGGUCUGAGAGGAUGACCAGCCACACUGGAACUGAGACACGGUCCAGACUCCUACGGGAGGCAGCAGUGGGGAAUAUUGCACAAUGGGCGCAAGCCUGAUGCAGCCAUGCCGCGUGUAUGAAGAAGGCCUUCGGGUUGUAAAGUACUUUCAGCGGGGAGGAAGGUGUUGUGGUUAAUAACCGCAGCAAUUGACGUACCCGCAGAAGAGCACCGCAUAACG
rnacentral:rRNA from 1 species